rnacentral:rRNA from 1 species
UACGUAGGCAGCAAGCGUUGUUCGGAGUUACUGGGCGUAAAGGGUGCGUAGGCGGUUGCUUAAGUUUGGUGUGAAAUCUCCCGGCUCAACUGGGAGGGUGCGCCGAAUACUGAGUGACUAGAGUGCGGGAGAGGAAAGUGGAAUUCCUGGUGUAGCGGUGAAAUGCGUAGAUAUCAGGAGGAACACCGGUGGUGUAGACGGCUUUCUGGACCGUAACUGACGCUGAGACACGAAGCGUGGGUAGCAAACAGG